GCUAGCCACGGGCUGUGCUACAUGGGCUGCCGUGUUCUGAUUUUUGUUUGGCUUUGGUUUGGGACAUCACCUGAGCAGAGGCCUCAGCAUUUACCCCUGUGCUUGAAUUGAAGCCGUCUUUAAGGGGACCCACAGCCCUUUUGCUGCCUCCUCAGCAUCUCUCUGAUGAGGGCCAAAGAGUCCUGCCAGUCCCAGCUGGAUUAUCACACGGGGCCAGCAUCCUCCACACACUGCAUGUCUCAGCACUGGUCAUGGCUUCCUCGUUCCUUCAUUCUGAGUCUCCCUUAGGUUUCAUCGAAACCCCACAUGGGUGAAGGUUUUACCACAGUGACCUCCUACACAUCACAAACCACUAAGUAUCACCCCAGUUCUCCAAGAAGAGCCUGAAGGGAUGCAAGAUGUUCAGCUCUCUGUUGUCUUUCAGGAGGGCUUGCGAAUCACGUGCGCAUGUAGACACCAUGGGUGUGAGGCCAGGAAUUACAGAGGAGAAGGCAUGAGCAGCGCUCUGAUUUCCUGCACAAAGCAUGGAUUUUCUCAGUGCCAGAUGGAAAUAUGGAUGAUCUGUGAGUCUGUCCAGUGUUGCAGGCCCAGGAAAGCAGAAAGAGGAUGGGAAGAGACUCACCUUGUCACCCAAGGAAGGAACUAAUGUCACCACCUGAAGAUCUACAACAUGUCUGGGAGGAUCCGUGAGCCUGUGGCCACAGCAGAGCACGACUGCAGCAGCAGGGGCUUGCCAAGAAAAACAGAGUUUGACCUGUUUUUUUUGGAGUGGGCGGUACCUGGAUUUACUUUCCACAAGACUGCACAGGUACUGCUUCCACUGUAAACUUAAUAAAGCUAGUAA